UACGUAGGGUGCAAGCGUUGUCCGGAAUUAUUGGGCGUAAAGAGCUCUUAGGCGGUUUGUUGCGUCGGCUGUGAAAUCCCGAGGCUCAACCUCGGGUCUGCAGUCGAUACGAGCAAACUAGAGUGUUGCAGGGGAGACUGGAAUUCCUGGUGUAGCGGUGAAAUGCGCAGAUAUCAGGAGGAACACCGGUGGCGAAGGCGGGUCUCUGGGCAACAACUGACGCUGAGGAGCGAAAGCGUGGGGAGCGAACAGG
rnacentral:rRNA from 1 species